UUUAAAGAGAGUUUGAUCCUGGCUCAGGACGAACGCUGGCGGCGUGCCUAAUACAUGCAAGUCGAACGAACGGAGGAAGAGCUUGCUCUUCCAAAGUUAGUGGCGGACGGGUGAGUAACACGUGGGCAACCUGCCUGUAAGUUGGGGAUAACUCCGGGAAACCGGGGCUAAUACCGAAUGAUAAAGUGUGGCGCAUGCCACGCUUUUGAAAGAUGGUUUCGGCUAUCGCUUACAGAUGGGCCCGCGGUGCAUUAGCUAGUUGGUAGGGUAAUGGCCUACCAAGGCAACGAUGCAUAGCCGACCUGAGAGGGUGAUCGGCCACACUGGGACUGAGACACGGCCCAGACUCCUACGGGAGGCAGCAGUAGGGAAUCUUCCGCAAUGGACGAAAGUCUGACGGAGCAACGCCGCGUGUAUGAAGAAGGUUUUCGGAUCGUAAAGUACUGUUGUUAGAGAAGAACAAGGAUAAGAGUAACUGCUUGUCCCUUGACGGUAUCUAACCAGAAAGCCACGGCUAACUACGUGCCAGCAGCCG
rnacentral:rRNA from 1 species